GAUGAAGAACGUAGCGAAAUGCGAUAAGUAGUGUGAAUUGCAGAAUUCCGUGAAUCAUCGAAUCUUUGAACGCACAUUGCGCCUUCUGGUAUUCCGGAAGGCAUGCCUGUUCGAGAGUCAUUAACAACCGUUUCGAUCCCUUUCUUUCAGAAAUUACAAAGAGGAAAAGGGUUUGGUUAUGGUGGAGGAGGGAAAGGGAGCGUUUAGCCUGUAAAAAAAGAGGCUGUGUUCCGCCUCCCCCCCAAAAUUGUACAGGCGGUCGUGUGCGCCCACGCAUCGAGGUGUUGUAAUAGCUGCCACGGCACUUUUCACCUGUGCAGUGCGAGAUUGGCCAGCCGGUUUAAAAACCCCUCCAAACAAUCAAAGGUUGACCUCGGAUCAGGUAGGGAUACCCGCUGAACUUAAGCAUAUCAAUAAGCGGAGGA
rnacentral:misc_RNA from 1 species